GGCCGCACAAAGUUUUAUUGAAAAUAAUGUCAGGAUCUGAGAUCUGUAAGAGGACUCUCCUGUGCAGUAAGAGAAAGAAGCUUGUUUACAACUGUCAGAAAGUAGCUUCUUGGAGUCGGGAAGACGGGUUUUUAUCCGUCAUUUGAAGCGUGCCUUUGUGAGAAUUAAGACACGAUGUGAAAAAUCCCUCUCUCUCUUGAUUACUUUUCAGGACCAGAAGAGAGUAGCUCUCCCCAACCCCUCAUGCAGCGAAAAAAUGUAUGCAGCUGAAGUAAACGGCCCUGCACAGCGUUGCCAGCCGUAUAACUCUUAACAACCCAAACUAAUAAAUCCUAGAAACCUUUCA
rnacentral:lncRNA from 1 species